rnacentral:sRNA from 1 species
GGUGACUCCUUUGCAUGAUGCACUGUCAAACGGACAUGUAGAAAUUGGCAAGCUGCUACUACAGCAUGGGGGUCAUACUCCCUGUCACAAACUCCAGCUGAACUAACUUGGAGGAGGAUCUUCCCUGACAGCUCUGGUUGGUUGUGAUUUAUGAAUACCAUUCAAGAGGUCACUAUCGAUCUUCAAAAUACAUCAAUUCUAAGUAGACAACCUUCCACCUUUGAAGAACAAAACUUUUACUGUUUCAAAAACACAUUAGACAAGAACGUGGUUCGAUCAACAGGGCAUAGGAUUCAUGAAAUCAACAUUUAUUCAUAUGGUAUCACCUGGGGCAGCAGGAAUGCUUCUGGUUCUGAUUAAAACCACCGCAACAACUUGUGGAUCUAAGGACUUUGUUCUUAAAUUAAUU